rnacentral:rRNA from 1 species
GACAGAGGUGCCAAGCGUUAGGCGGAAUCACUGGGCUUAAAGCGUGUGUAGGCGGAUCGUUAAGUACCUUGUGAAAUCCCACGGCUCAACUGUGGAACGGCUGGGCAUACUGGCGGUCUUGAGCCAUCUAGGGGCGACUGGAACAAACGGUGGAGCGGUGAAAUGCGUAGAUAUCGUUUGGAACGCCAAUGGUGAAAACAGGUCGCUGGGGAUGAGCUGACGCUGAGACACGAAAGCCAGGGGAGCAAACGGG